rnacentral:lncRNA from 1 species
CGUAAGCCUAACUGAGGGGUGCAGCUCAUGCCUGGAGACCUCCUUCCCUUGCAUGGCCCCAUGGAAGCCAAAGCCAACGGGAGGGAUCAGGAGAGCCUGAGGAGCCACCACAGAAGUCACUGCACUGGAGGAAGCCUCUGUCCAGAUAGCCAAGGACAGGGACAGUCAUUCCUCGUGACCGUGCUGAGAAUACCCUUUUCAGUGCAAAUUAGAAGACCCAAGUCUCCUUCUCCUACACAGAGGAGUCAUCAGCAAGGCCCUGACCCCAGGAAUCAUCAGCCAACUCUCUUUGGAUCGGCCAACCCACUGCCUGGGAUUCACUUGGUUUCCACAAAGAACAUUGAUGAUCGAAUCAGGAAAGUCCCACAAGGAUUAGAGGAGGACUUGAUCCAUCAGGAGUCUGCACUUUCUCUCCCUUCUGGAGGGCUCAGUAGCCUCCCCUUCUAAGUGCUGUGAUUCUCCCCGCCACUGCAGUCCAUGGCAGGGACCCUCAACUGAUACCUGGAGCCUCACCUCUCAACAUCAGGUUCUCCUCUGAGAUCCCCCACAAGCGGUUCUGGUCUCUCUAAUGCUCCUAUCUGCUGCCGAGCCAAGUUCAGCCUUCUGAAGACAGAUAAGCCUUGCAGAGUGAGACGGGGCUAAGAUAUAAAUUUGGCCAAGGCAUGGUUCAUGGGAAGACAUCUCUUUUUAUUUUGCCUGCAUAAAAUAAUGAGCAUUUUAAAAACUGCUCUAAUUUCCUUGAAAAAUAAUCGAGUGUGGGGUGGUAUCAGCAGAGGGACUAAUAAGAACAAUAAAGCAUAUUUUGUGGACCAAGGCAAAGGAAUAAAAACCAGAGAGUCGUGAUGGAAGCCGGGAGAUGCAGGCAGCAGUCACUGCACACUGAAGGCAAUGAACAUAUGGAAUAAAUGAAGAGACACGGCAAAUGUAGCAAAAAAUUAAUUCAAGCCCUUGACUUAUUCCAAGGGAGGGAAGGCAUGUCGACAGAUGGUAAAACAUCAGGAAUGUGGGAUUAAGAUAAAUUUUGAGAGGACAGGUGUGCAGGACAGAGUGGCCUUUUCCGAUUCUGCAAUGCAACCCUUCCUUAAUAUGUCACUACUGGCUGGAGCUCAAGGCAGCGUCCCCAUUAGGUGCCCACUGCAAUCUGCCCUGCAAGUGUGUGGUAUGUCGCCUCUCUGCUGUGGAGCUGAAUUGUAAUCUGUUCCGAGAAAGAUAUAGGGCUCUUCCUACUCUCUCCAGCAGGGCUGCUCAAGGGCCUAAAUUCUCAGGACUGGGACUCCUCUUUUAAAAAGAUCUCUUACUAGCAUAGCUGGG